GACGAACGCUGGCGGCGUGCCUAAUACAUGCGAGUCGAACGCUGAAGCGAGGAGCUUGCUCUUCUUGGAUGAGUUGCGAACGGGUGAGUAACGCGUAGGUAACCUGCCUUGUAGCGGGGGAUAACUAUUGGAAACGAUAGCUAAUACCGCAUAACAAUGGAUGACACAUGUCAUUUAUUUGAAAGGGGCAAUUGCUCCACUACAAGAUGGACCUGCGUUGUAUUAGCUAGUAGGUGAGGUAACGGCUCACCUAGGCGACGAUACAUAGCCGACCUGAGAGGGUGAUCGGCCACACUGGGACUGAGACACGGCCCAGACUCCUACGGGAGGCAGCAGUAGGGAAUCUUCGGCAAUGGGGGCAACCCUGACCGAGCAACGCCGCGUGAGUGAAGAAGGUUUUCGGAUCGUAAAGCUCUGUUGUAAGUCAAGAACGAGUGUGAGAGUGGAAAGUUUACACUGUGACGGUAGCUUACCAGAAAGGGACGGCUAACUACGUG
rnacentral:rRNA from 1 species